rnacentral:rRNA from 1 species
ACUACUGGAAACGGUGGCUAAUNCCGCAUAAUGUCUACGGACCAAAGCANGGGCUCUUCNGACCUUGCACUAUCGGAUGAACCCNUAUGGNAUUAGCUAGUAGGUGGGGUAAAGGCUCACCUAGGCNACGAUCUCUANCUGGUCUGAGAGGAUGAUCAGCCACACUGGGACUGANACACGGCCCANACUCCUACGGGAGGCAGCANUGGGGAAUAUUGCACAAUGGGCGCAAGCCUGAUGCANCCNUGCC